UAACCUCGUAAUUGGAUUUCUGUUUUUUAAAUCGGGCGAAACCUCACGGUUUCUGCCCCCGUUUCUUAGAUGCAUCCUCAGGGUUCUGAUAUUUGGUAUUAAUUUAUCCGAUUUUUGGUCCUUGUCAUUUACUGUGUAUUUCCUAUAGUGUUUAUUUGAUGCUUAUUGCUUGAAUACUUUACCAUGGAAUACUAAAAUAGGAACUUGGUCUAUUUUGUUGGUUUACAUUCCAAGGUAAUGAUUAAUAUGGAUAGUUGGCGGUAUUCUUAUUCUAUUGCCACACGUGAAAUUCUUGGAUUUAUGGAACAUCAAAUACUGCUCAGCCCUUUACCGUGGAUGUUUUCAUUACUCGCGAACGAAAGUUACGGGAUCCAACAUGAUUAUAUUCCAUCGCACUCCUAACCUUGAACUAUGCCCACUAGUCCCUCUUGGAAUAUAUCAAAGUUCCAUCAACACCUUACGAGAAAGCAACAUGUUUGGGUUCCGGGGGGAGUAUGAUGUCAAGGUUUUUUCUGUUCGAACUUGACAAUGCGAACAUGCCACACCCCUUAGCCUGCCUCUAAAUUUGACUCAGUCUGGAAAACUUACCAGGUCCGGACAUAGUGAGGAUUGACAGAUUGAGAGCUCUUUCUUGAUUCUAUGGGUGGUGGUGCAUGGCCGUUCUUAAUUGGCGUAGUGAUUUGUCCGGGUAAUUCCACUCACCACCGAAACCCCCGACUGUGAUUUAUUUAAUAGAGUACAAUGUAUUCUAUAUAACUUCUUAGAGGGACU
rnacentral:rRNA from 1 species